ensembl:lncRNA
AGUGGCGCAAUCUCGGCUCACUGCAAGCUCCGCCUCCCAGGUUCACGCCAUUCUCCUGCCUCAGCCUCCCGAAUAGCUGGGACUACAGGCGCCCGCCACCACGCCCAGCUAAUUUUUUGUAUUUUUAGUAGAGACGGGGUUUCACCAUUAGCCAGGAUGGUCUCGAUCUCCUGACCUCAUGAUCCACCCACCUCAGCCUCCCAAAGUGCUGGGAUUACAGGCAGGAGCCACCACGCCUGGCCCUGAAUCCAGUAUUUUUUAAUGGAAACAUGAGUUGGUUGAGAUACUGAGUUCCUGCCUUCUCCAUCCUAAUCCCAAAUUUCCAAACUCCUUCCCCCUUUACCAUUUAAUCUCCUGAGCCCAGCUCCUCUCCAGCCUGAAGAGUGUGUCUGUCAAGACUUUAGCUGUGAACAAAACACUGUUACUUGAGCCUUAUCCUGGAGCAAAUGUGUGUGGUCUCACCAAUGAACGUCAGAUAAGUCCCUUGGCAUGGAUUUCUCUUUUUAGAAAUAUCAUCAUAAAGGUUACUCAGACUUAUUGAGCAUUUACUAUGGCCAGAAAUUGUAAUACUUGCUUUCCAUAUAGUUUAUCUCACUUAUUCUUAUUACUCUUUGAAGUCAGAAUUCUAACUAUGAACCAGAGAAAAUAAGUGACCUGCCUAAGGUCAUCCAGUUGGUUUAUGGUGAAGACAGGAUGCAAACUGAAAUUUGUCUGUGAUUUAAGUUCGGUGCUUUCCCUGGUCUCCUCCUCUCAGAGGCAGAACAUAAGCAUGUAAUAGAUACCACUAGGGUUCUUGUUUCUACCUUGGGAACAGCUGUUUGCAAGUCCAAAUUAGGCAGCUAAUCUAGCAGUUAGCCCAGAUACAGCCCUGAGGCACCCCAGUAGCUGUAACUCCCAGAAGGCAGGAACCUUCCAUUCACUAGUGAGUCCCCAAGACAGUGGCCCAAGUGAAGCCAAAAUGUUUGUUGGAAAUAUGAGUGAAUAAAAAAGUAAUUUCAUGAACAUAUGAAUGAAUACAUGAAUGAAUGAAGCAACACCCAGUAUAAUGAUUACUGCAACAGGAAGAUGCCUUUCCAAGCAUCACAAGGUCCUGGGAUCUUCACUGACUAUAAGUGCCAGUGGGGCAGGGACCAUAUUGGUCUUAUUCAUCACUCUCCUACCAGGUAAAUUAGCACAUUCCUGGCACACUGUAAAUGUUCAAUAUGCUUUUGUUCCUUUUGAUGGACUCACUUAUCAGAGGCAGCUCUUUCAAGAACAAGUAGCCCUGUGCUCUGGAGAAUGAUUUACAGUGGUUCUCUUCCUCAGCCCGUGGCCUUUUCUGGAUAACUCCCAUCUUACUCCCCUCUACGUCCUCUUCCCAGAAUACACCAAUUUAUUAUUACAGGCACCACUCUUCACCCCAUGUCUGAUUCUUCCCUCACUCUGCUUAAUGUACAAGUAAAACAAAGAAAUACUGUGUAGGACCUAUUGGAAUUAGAAUCCUGCUCUGUUACCAUUGGAAAGGAUUUAGGGAUCAUCUCCCUUCAGAGGUGAGAAUAAGAAAGUCUAAGUGAGUAAUCCAAGGUCACCCGGUUGCUCACCAGACAGGAAGACCCAGAGCCCACCUCUCCUGCCUGUUAGUCCAGUGCUCGGGUGGCCCGUGAGUUCGUGUUGGCCCUGUCAGACCAAAGACAGUAAUGAAUAUUAAACCCAGAAUGCACCAUAGUAUCAGGCCUUUUUUGUUUUUGUUUUCUAUUAGUAACACACGCAGAAGAGGCAGCAACUAAAACCCCAACAUCAGAGGCUCACCAUCCCCACCUUCUGGCCCACCACUGGCAAUGAACCCAAGCACAAGUCACUGUGGUCUCGUGAAAGAAAACUGAUGUGGGGGGUUGGGUGGGCUUCAGGGUGUUUAUUGCCAUCUCCCCCUCCAACACCUGAAAAGCUAAGUUAUGGUGUGAAGUCAGAAAAUGUGGAAUCUGCAACCCUGUCUUUAAAAAAAAAAAAAAAAAAAAAAAAAAA